GCAGUUGCUCAGUCAGUAGAGCAUGAGACUCCUAAUCUCAGGGUUGUGAGUUCAAGCCCCAUGUUCGGCA